CCCUAGUCCUAUCACUGUUUGCCUGUGAGAAGAGACCGACCCCCACCUGGCUACACCCUCCUGUCAGGGACUUGUAGAUCGUGACAAAAUAGAGAUCUCAAAGACAGAGGCAAGGGCAAAGUCUGUACCAGGAAGAAAAUAACCCUGUGCAAUAAUAAAGGCAGAGAGAUGAUUUAAUUAAUAAACAAACAAACAAACUCCACAACAAAACCAACCAACCAAAGGCAGAAAAGGAGUUGUGAGUGCAGGAGAGGCUCCCCUCAUGCACUCCAGCUCAGUGAUCAGGGCAGUGUGGCAGUGUCAGAGGUGCCCUUUUUGCUCUCUGCUAGGUGGCUCUCCUCUUGUUUGCCAGACCCUUUCCUUCAAAGGUUCCUUGGGCCACAGAACCCUAAGCCCUGCUGUGACACCAGCUGUUGGCCUGCAGCAUUUGCCUGCUGUCCCUGGGCCUUUUCCCCUCACCAGCAGGAUCCUUUCUGCCUCGCCACCAAAAGUCUGGAGUCCUUCUGGAGACACGAAUUGUCACCCCAGCAGUAUCGCCAGUGCCUGCAUGGAUGAGCAGCACAAGGUACUUGGUUCAUGCUCAGCUGGCUCUGGUGAUAGAUGUUGUUUCUUCCUGCCUGCUCCCAGGUAACUGCUGAUCACCCUGUGGGGGUUAGUACAGACCUGGGACCUACAGGAGCACCAGAUAUGAAGUCUGCGAUAUUAUUAAUGGGAUAACACUACUGGCUACUUCUGCUUACCUGCUACUGUUCUUUAAUGCAAGUUAGGGUGUCACCAGAUUUACACAAAAAGUGCCAAUAAACACUUGGUCUGAAUGAUUUAUCUCAUUCUAAAAUGAUUUAUUUUACUUUUGAUAACCAUUGAAAAGCUUUUGGAACACUGAGUCAUGACUACUGUGGAAGAAAGUGUAGCCAGCACUAUGAAAGGUAAGUCAUAGAAAUAAAAUAAGCCAAUACAAAAUCAUACUGUUCAAGGUUGGACUUUUAUUUAAGGCAAAAUAUAAUCACAGCUUUAAUAUUCAUAAUAUGGAUAUACACAGUUUGUUCUGCCACUAUGAAGCUCAGUAUUAUCACUGCUUUUAAAAAGCUAUAAAAUCUAGUUUCUAUCAUAAUCUACAAUACAAAACUAAUACAAUAAACACAUUCUGAAAGAUCACAGUGUUUAAAAUAUUAGAAAAGCAGGGGUCCUGCUUUCAAACAAUAAGGUGCAUCUCUAAAGAAUCAAAUCAGCCUUGAUUCUACAGGCCUGUACCACAUCAUGGCUGUGAAUGGCUGUAACACUGAGAAACCAAUCUAGGGUGUGGCACGUACUCAAGGAAUGAACAUCACACACUGGCAUAUACUGAAUAAUCAAGUGUCACCAACACAAACUAGACAUUAAAUAAUGCCAUUUAAGUUCCCUGUAGUUUUUAUUUGUAUUGGUAUUCACAUAUAUUGCAGAGAUAUUGAGAUAAAAUGUGUAUAAAUUGCUAUCAAACAGGGCCCUGCAUAUGCAAACACCUGUGCUUUCCUCAUACUAUGCAAACAAGCCUUACUAAUUCCAUGGGACUCAUGUGUAAAGGAAAGUUUGUAGGCCUGGGGUCUGGAAUGACAUAGUUUACCCCUGUUUCACACAUGUGGAAGGAGCUACUUUGCAUGCCUGGAAUCAAGCAGAGGUUCACCACAGACAUCAGCAGGUGGCCUAUCAGGCUGUUAAAAUGAGUGCAGGAGGCCAAUUCAGUGGCAAAACCAGACCAUUGUUAAAAGAAAUCCUUCUCUCUUGUGUGGUCAUGGUAAUGAAGACAGAAGCAGAGUUGAAUUUGUGGUCAGACAGCCUUCCUCUUCUAUAUGAUGUAAAAAUGUAUGUUGGACUAGAUUGUGUUUUCUAUUCCCUACAGGAUAUAAUUGACUUAAGAACUUUUACAUAGUGAUACAAUGCUGUUGCUGAAUGUCAGUACACUAUAAAUUCUCUUGUAUUCAAAUAUCAUUACACCACUGGACAAAAUAAGUUUUUAAUUAAUUUUCUGCCAUUCUAGCUGGUAUUGUUGUACUUGACCUAAAUGCUUCCAUCUUCUCUUUGAGUCAUGCCAUGAACAAAGUCAAGGGACUCCCUUCUAAGCAUUAAAAAUAAAUAUGGCCUUAUGCAUUUUCAAGCAGAUUCCUAUUUAUAAAUAUGUUUUUUGAGAGCAUGAUGUAGAAUUUCCAAUAUAUGGGGUGUAAGACCAAUGGUGACAGUACAAAUUAGUCAAGUUUAGUAAUUCAAAGGCAGAUUGUAUUUUUUUAAACUGCCUCAUCAUGGAUAGCGCACAUCACUUCUGUUAAAAGACAGGAGUAGGCAGUAGGUUCAGCUACAGGCAACUCCUUCACAGGCAAAUGUUUUUUAACAUUUGAUGACUUUGCUAUAAUGGCAAUGGAGUGCUGUUCCAGGCAGCUGAAACAUGCACAGUGCUUACUGUACCACUACCUGUGCCAUGAGACACUGUGCUAUUCCUCUGGAAAAUGCCUAUUCACAUCUCUAAAUUGCUGUAUUGUUUUGUGGGCCCUGAGCAUUUUUGGCUUAUGGCUUUGAAGUAUGUUGUUCCCUCAAAGUGGGAUUUUUGGUCAUUUUCUUAUUUCUUUUCAAUUUAGCUUUCAGCCGUUACUACUUAGUCUUAUAUAAACUGAAAUGUCUUCUCAGAGCAGUCCAGGCUGUGCUGCCAGUCAGCAAGUGUUAGCUCUUCAGAGCAAGAUUGCUCUUUGAAAAUCAAUCGGGCAAUUUUAGUCCUGAUAUGCUAAUCUUUCUACAGAUUAGAAUAUGCACUUAUGUCAGUGAAUAUUCAAGGUUUGUAGAAGAUUACUGCACCUGAGAUUUACUUGGCAGACCUCAGAGAUCCAAAGAACAAGGAUACAGUCUCAAAAUGCAUGCAUACACUAAAAUAGGUCACUGUUGGCAUAAAACAUGCAAUAUGUUGGCAGAUGCUGUAACUGUAUAUGCAGAAAACUAUGAAUACAAAAACUUGAUUGCUUAUCAAAGUUUCCAUUUGCACAUAUUGCCCCUCCACGUUUCUGAAUAGAGCAGAUACCUAGGGUUCAUUUUUUUCCACAGUAUUAAAAAACCAAUCAGUAUUCUUGUCAUAUUCUUUCCAUGUCCAUAUAUAAUCAGUAUUAGAACAUCAAAGUGGCAUUACUUAAUUUGACAGAGUAGCAAUAAAUGUGAUCCCUUUACUUGUAUUCCCUUAUGUAUGUUUCCCAGAACUAUUUAAAAGUGAAUUUUGGAAUGUUUAGCCAUUUCACUUGGUUUCGAUUGUCCUAACAGAACUGAAACACUGAAGCAUGGAGAUGUUGCCAUGCCCCCUAGAAAGUCUCUUUUAUUUAAUGAAGUAAAACACCAGUGACAGUUGUUAUAAAGGAUAAUGAUUUUUCCUUAGCAGGUGGAAAAUGGCACAGCCAGAGAGAAGAGACCAUCUGGGAGCAUAAAAUAAUGUAAUGCAAGUUAGUAGAACACCCUGCUUAAGCAAAAUCAAUCAAUCUUAUUUUCAGGAACAGAAGACCUGGGUUGCUUCUUCAGCCUCCUCAAGUUAUUCAAAGGUUGGGAAACAAAGGCAGGGAAAUUGAAGGCAACAAUGAUGCAAACAAAGUAGAUAUUGAAAGCAGUGGCACAAAAUAAACAUCUGAUUAUGAUGAGAAGUUGUGAGUAGCAAUUAAAAAUAAAUAUAUAUUUGUUAGAACUGUACUGCUGAUAAAACUUACAGCAUCUGGUUCUAUGAAUCCUGAAAUCAAUAAAUCUGGACACUACAGAUAAAGCUUCCCUUGAAAUUAUUCCCUGACAGUAAUCUAUGGAUGGCAGGCUAAAAGUCAUGAACAGUAUAUAGCUCCUUAAACUGAUGUGUAAUCUACAGCUUUACUCACAAACAGCACCACACAAACACAGGUACAUCACAAAUAAGCACCAAUACCCACAUAAUGCAUCCUCUUUGCUUUAACAGCAUAAUCAGAAAUACUAUUAUAUCACUUAAAUUCAUAUUGCCUACACUUUAGAAACUAAACACAACCAAGAAACUAAUGUGCAAACAUGACGUAGUUACUGUGUUUUACAUCCUGAAAGAGGCUUCUCAAUUUCCCACAACACAGUCUUUUGUCACAGCACCAGGGCAGAAUCUGUUCAGGAAUACAUUUUCCAGUUCCUAAGGGCCCAGUUUGGGAGCAGGAGGAGACAGCAUUCCAUGGAGAAUGUCUAGCAAAGGUUGCAAGGUUGAUUUCUCAAAGCAGGAAGAAGGGUACACAGAAGACCUUACUUUUUGUUACACUGGAAAGUGCUGACAGCUCUACUCAGGUUGCUGUUCUGUCAAUGUCUUAAAAGCAGCAAAUAAAGACUGCAAUGGCACAUUUGUAACAGCAUAUCUAGUACAGAGAAAAAAUCAGAUGAGACAAUAAAGAGGGGAAAGAUGAAAAAUCCCUGUUCAUUAAAUGAAUCGCAUUUUCCAAAGAGCCCUGGGGUGUAUUUGCACUGUGUUCAGAAGCUGUGACUAUAGCACAUCUAGAAGCCACCUUAACCCAGCCAGGUCAGGUAAGAAAAGCCACAAAUCUCUGAGAGUGAGCUCAAACUGCCAUGUCUGAUGAAAGAGAUGAACAAAUACGUUCCAAGAUUUUUACCAGAUAUAUCCCAUGAGACUGGAUGUUCAUGUGCUGCCCUUGCUGGAGUCAGUGCUGAACUCACAUAACCUGCAGAUAUGUCUGGGACCUAGAUUUCAAAAACUGGGUGGUUCCAUGAGUUUUCUCCUUGUUGAAUGGACUGACUCUUACUCAAAUAACUGUUUUGUCUCUCCAAAAUGUGGCUUCAUAUACAGAGAACGGUUGUGGGGAUAGGAGAUCUGUGUUGAGUGUGCUGUUGAUCACAACACAGAGGAGAUCAGAGUCUUCUCUGAAUGUGAAUUGGAAGAAAUUCUACAAAGAGAGACACAUAGGAGAAAGCACUAGAAAAGACACUGAGCUCAAUGUUUAUUCCCUGGCAUUUGUGAAGGAUCACAUUUAGAAGAAGUGGAUAGGCCAAGUUUUACCUUCCAAAUGUGUUACAGGAACCAACUAGAUAAAAAAUCCUAAUGGACUGGGGAUCUUCACUACUGACAGCUGGCUCUGCUCCGAUCCAACAGGAGCACUUCCACAGCGCUGGGCAGAGCACACUCACAUAUCCACUGACUUUUUGAUUCAGCCUCAUGUGUACACCCUCCCUAUGGAAUUCACCCCUCUGUGUGCACACAUCUCACUGUUUAGAGUAACCAAGUGACAUUAGUGGCUUUCUUAAAAGACCAUAUAGCCUUUUAACUUAUGUGUUUUAAUAAACACAUAACAAAUGUAUAUUGAGAUUUAACAUUUCCAUUCGCUGAAAGAUAUCUAAGUUCUUGACAAACUGAUACAGAACUGCAUUGCUUUAUUCACCAGUGAAAUAUGGUUAUUUCUAUGAUUAAGUAAUUAAUUAGAGCUGCACAGUGCAAGACAGAGUAACAGAAAUCCUUAUCUGCAGCUCAUAAUAAUGUAAGCCAUCUCAUUAAAAUAACAGUGGCAAGAGCAGGAAGGGAUUAUUAUAUUAAAAUGUGGAAGGAUUUCAAGACCUAGCUCCAACUUAUAGCCUGAUCAAAGCCCACUGAAAUGAAAUGGGAACUUUAAUCCAUUAGGCAUUAAAAAUAAAGAAAUUGUAAUCUCCUCCAGCUGAGAAUGCAGGAAGAGGGACUGCUUUGUUUGGCAGUGCAUGAACAGCAGCUUUUUCUCUCUAACUUCAGUUUUAGACAUACUGGUCUUCCUGAUUUGUCUUUACAGAUAUUAUUCCCAUAUAAAUAAAAAUAAAUAAAUAAAUAAAU